rfam:Gossypium hirsutum cultivar TM-1 chromosome 20, whole genome shotgun sequence
AUCCCAUGGUGAGGGAAUUUUUGUAAUAACUCUUUAAAUCCCUCCUACGCCUCAUACAAAGAUUCAUCAUCCAUCUACUGAAAAUUAGUGAUCUCAUUGCACAAUUU